GUCCACGCUGUAAACGAUGGGCACUAGGUGUUCGGGUAUUGACCCCCUGAGUGCCGCAGCUAACGCAUUAAGUGCCCCGCCUGGGGACUACGACCGCAAGGUUAAACUCAAAGGAAUUGACGGGGCCCGCACAAGCGGUGGAGCAUGUGGUUUAAUUCGACGCAACGCGAAGAACCUUACCUGGGCUAGACAACGUCGGACAGCUCUGGAAACAGAGUCUUCCCGCAAGGGACUGGCGGUUCAGGUGCUGCAUGGCUGUCGU
rnacentral:rRNA from 1 species